rnacentral:rRNA from 1 species
CCUACGGGAGGCAGCAGUGGGGAAUAUUGGGCAAUGGGCGCAAGCCUGACCCAGCAACGCCGCGUGAAGGAAGAAGGCUUUCGGGUUGUAAACUUCUUUUGUCAGGGACGAAGCAAGUGACGGUACCUGACGAAUAAGCCACGGCUAACUACGUGCCAGCAGCCGCGGUAAUACGUAGGUGGCAAGCGUUAUCCGGAUUUACUGGGUGUAAAGGGCGUGUAGGCGGGGAAGCAAGUCAGAUGUGAAAACCACGGGCUCAACCUGUGGCCUGCAUUUGAAACUGUUUUUCUUGAGUGCUGGGGAGGCAAUCGGAAUUCCGUGUGUAGCGGUGAAAUGCGUAGAUAUACGGAGGAACACCAGUGGCGAAGGCGGAUUGCUGGACAGUAACUGACGCUGAGGCGCGAAAGCGUGGGGAGCAAACAGGAUUAGAUACCCCUGUAGUC